GAACGCUAGCGGCAGGCUUAACACAUGCAAGUCGAGGGGCAGCACGGGUAGCAAUACCUGGGUGGCGACCGGGACGAAAGGGUGAGUAACGCGUGAGCAACGUGCCCGUAUGUGGGGGAUAGUCGAUAGGAAACGUCGCGUAAUACCCCGUAACACAAGGAACCGCAUGAUUCUUUGUUGAAAGAUUUAUUGCAUACGGAUCGGCUCGCGUGCCAUUAGCUAGUUGGCGGGGUAACGGCCCACCAAGGCGACGAUGGCUAGGGGUUCUGAGAGGAACGGUCCCCCACAUUGGAACUGAGACACGGUCCAGACUCCGUACGGGAGGCAGCAGUGAGGAAUAUUGGACAAUGGCCGGAAGGCUGAUCCAGCCAUGCCGCGUGCGGGAGGACGGCCCUAGUUGGGUUAGUAAACCGUCUUUUGCGGGGGAGCAAUAAGGUGCACGUGUGCACCGAUGAGAGUACCCUGCGAAUAAGCAUCGGCUAACUCCGUGCC
rnacentral:rRNA from 1 species